AAAAGAGAGAAGAGAUAAUAAUUCCGGAAGGAGCUUUGGUGGACAACCAUGGUUAGCAAGUAUCACUUGAAUGACGAUUCAUGAAAGAAAGUGUGUCAGAGACAGCGUUCAAAAACCUAGGAUCACCUUCAGCAUAAUGAUAUAUACAAAUAAAACUUUUUUGAAGAGCUACAUUGAUAGAUCUGCUGCCUAGAAUGAAUAAGGGAGAAGAGUAUUAUUGGGAAGUUAACAGCAAUGAAGAAAAACAACAAUAAAGAGAAGAAAGGUUUUAAUUGUGCCCCAGGAGCCAGCUGCUAUGACUACACUAUCAUCUUGAGCUUCUAACCUCCACUAUUAUUACUACUAAUAUCUUGCCUGUUGCAGAAAGAUGGAUAAGGUAUGGUGAUCCCAAAGUCCCAGAAGCACUCCCUGAUUUGGAUUUCUCAUCUCCUGACAUCAUAUGCAAUCUUUCCAUCUGCUGUGAUCCUCAUUUAAAUCUGCUGUGGUGCUUCAGACUCAAGAGUUUAUGAGAUGCAGGAGCACUGUGAAGAAUUUCUCUAUGCCUUGCACUGAAAAUUUAACUGCAUUUAUUUAACAGUUAAGGUUUUGAAAAACUCUAGCAAGACUUGGUGCUCUCUCCUUUACAUGAAUGGUUGACUGAUGAGCUUCUCAUUUUAGAGCCCUAUGAAAAGCUAUGGAAAUAGAUUCCUUUUCCUUUUUUUAAGUGAGUUUUCAGGAUUAUUAACUCUGCCUAGUAAAUGUUUACACUCUCAGGACUUCUUAACCAAAUAAUGGCAAAGAGACUGUCCCUUGCAGUGAGUGAAGAUUUGUCAUUUGUUAAACAAACAACAACAAAAAAAAAAAAACCAAAAAAAAAAAAGGUAACUUGCUAGGCCUUCUAUAUUGUGAAAAGAAAUGUAUUAAAUCUUGCUGACAUAAGGAAGCUAA